rnacentral:rRNA from 1 species
AACGAACGCUGGCAGCGUGGAUUAGGCAUGCAAGUCGAACGGGAUCCGGAAGGUAGCAAUACCGGCCGGUGAGAGUGGCGGAAGGGCGAGGAGCACGUGGACAACCUGUCCCGUGGGUGGGGAUACCGUCCCGAAAGGGGCGUUAAUACCGAAUGGGGCCCCGGACCGCAUGGUCCGGCGGCCAAAGGCGGGGACCGCAAGGCCCGCCCCCCCGGGAGGGGUCCGCGCACCAUCAGCUAGACGGCGGGGUAACGGCCUACCGUGGCUUACGGUUAGCUGGUCUGAGAGGACGACCAGCCGCACUGGGACUGAGACACUGCCCAGACUCCUACGGGAGGCUGCAGUCGAGGAUCAUUCGCAAUGGGCGAAAGCCUGACGAUGCGACGCUGCGUGGAGGAUGAAGGCCCUCGGGUCGUAAACUCCUGUCAUGGGGGGCGAGGCGGAGGCGGUUAACGGCCGCCCGAGUUGACGGUACCCCAAGAGGAAGCCACGGCUAACUCUGUG